UGAUCAUUCUCCAAAGCUGUUUU
rnacentral:snRNA from 1 species